rnacentral:lncRNA from 1 species
CGCACAAGAUUAAGCACCUCCUCUUCCCGGAUAAAGCGAAAAGAUUGGACUCGCUUGGCACUCAAUAGCUCCACGAUGCUCAUCUUGCGCAGCUCCCUCCAGUGGAAUCCAUACGAGGUAAAGCCGACGCCCCUGUCACCGUAUGUGGCGGUCUGGAGAGUCAGGUUGGUGGGCCGAGAGGCGAAGCUGAUGUCGUGGGUUUUCAUGAUCUCAGCAGCCGCUUCGACAGAUGAGACAACGAGGGUGGGGAGCUCACCAAGCUUCAGGAGUAUGACGGGGCCAAAUUUCUUAGAUAAGGCAGUGAGGGAAUGAUGCGGCAGGGCAUUGAAGAGAUGGUGUAAGCUGCCUAUGAUAGGGAGCUUAGAUGGACCGGGAGGCAGUGUGGCACGAGCUCCUCGACUGGACCUGUUCUUCUUGAGAAGCAGGAGCGAUACGAGGAGGACGAGAAAGGAGAAGAGGAAGGCUGUAUUGGUGAGAUCCAUGCUUAAUUAGUUUUCUGGUAAUGAGACACCACAGGCCCCUCCACCCUUCUUAUACACAUGACAGUUAUGAGUUUCGCGUGCAGUUUCCCGAUUGCGUAAUGACAGACGUUAUCGUAUCAUCACAGAGUUGAAUUAGAAUAGUUGACACAUGGCAUUAAACCGGGGUGGAAAUCGACUCACCAUGUUUUGUGACUGGUUCAUCUGGAACAAAGUCGAUGGUACAACAAAAAAAAUAAUGGGAUCACAAUGGUGGCGGUCAGAUUCUGCAGCUACUUUAGAAUGAGAACAAACUAUAAAAUACGAUAAAUAAUUGUUAUAUAUAUUAUUUUUUCUAGAAUCUCUACCUACGCCAACUUUCAGUUUGUAGUCGAUUGUUUCGCCACAAGCAAUCCGCCAUGGACGUGUUCCUACUCCGAGCGUGUUAGUUUCAUUCAUCAUCUUUUUUUAGCAAGUUUCGUAACGCAAUUGUUUCGUUGCAUGUGUAACUUAUAUACGUGACUGUGCUUAGUUUUUGUAUAUGGCGUCGAUGUGUUUUUUUAGCGUUUAAAGGUACAAAUAACUUUCAUUUAAAUCAGAAACACACAGCAAGUGGGUUGGACGACAUGCCUAAGUUAUCCUGUUUACCAAAAAAGAAAGUUAACCAGUGAGCUUUGCAAUUAGAGGUUCUUGGUACGAAACUUAGGACAAAAGACUGUAGAGUGGCCAUCAAAGCUUGAUAUCAGAGAUGAUGGCUCUAAGGUACGAUGGGAUUUCCUCGGAGCCAUUGAUGACGGAGAUGAGGGACUGUGAAUUAGAUUAAAUCCGCAAGUUGAUCGAUCCAAUGUAGAUCCUCCGCAUGUUUGAGCGCUUCCAGGACAGCAAACGCUUCCGCCAUCAAAUGGUUAUGUGCGUUGCAAGAAGAGCAGCCCGCGGUCAUCGUCGUAGUAUAGGAAGGGUAAAGGAAGCAGAAUCCUGUACCUGCAGUUUGAACAUUGAAGGAUGCAGCCAAAAAAGGGAUCCAGGGUAAACGACUGACGUGAUCUUAUCUUCAAAGUUAAUUUGGAAUAAAGCUAUCACUUGUUACGUUAAUUUUGAAGAAUAUGCAAAUCUUUAGCAUCAUAUCACAAUGUUUUGACGAUGGUUCAUCUGGGACAACAUUUUCAUGCGGCACUUGAAGGAAAAGUCGAAAGUGUAAUCCCUCAUGCUCUCAGGAACUUUCUAACGAUGCAUCAGGGUCGGUCUAAAAAAUGUAAAGAAAUAUACAUUAAGAGUUUCCUGGUGACCCUCGUACGCUGCUUAUAUCAGAAGUUGCUUCACAAAGGUGACUAAAGCUUCACGAGCCUUAUGAAUGGAGAGCGGAAAAAAAGAUAAAAACAGAGUUUCUAGAUUACUACGGUUUGCCCUAUCUUUGUAACUAUGAGUUUUCGUGGUAUGCCAAGAAUAACAUCGCACCGUUGAAGAAGAUCAUCUAUAUCAUAUACGGUGGGAAAGAAUAUUCUCUAUUUUGGCACGUAUCAUGUCAUUUUGAUUUCGUGAAGUCAUGGCGAUGGAACGAGUCUAUCGCUAGAGGAUGAUGGUUCACCUUAUCUUUUGUCAUCUACAAACACUGACAUGAUUUGACAGUCUACUAGAGAUUAAAAUACAAUACCGUAGACCAGCAAACACGAACAGACGAUUCGCCGGCUUCCUAGGGAUUAAAAUACAAGAGCUUAGACCAGCAAGUAUGAACACAGACUUGCUAAGGUAUCAUAGUGUUUCUUGACCUGUUCCCUAUGUAGAGUGCACAUUUUGGCCGAAGGAGGGGUAUCGAUAUUUUCAAAGUUGAUAUAUUGACAUGGAUGUGGCUAUGUCUUCCGAUAUGAAAUGUCAAUAUGGGUUUGUUAAUAGAGCUAGAUGUCAAAAUAGUUUUCUAGGAGAGUAGAUGCGGUCAUAUGCUAGUAUUUGACCAGGGUGCAAUAUCCUCCCUAAUUACCAAGAAAUGUAGGUGUAUGAUUAAUCUAAAGUUGAAAUCGAUAUUAUAAGACUUAUUCAUAUCAGAGUUUUACUGGCAUAUCAGACAUUUUAGAAAAGUCAUACUACAACUUUGAUGUCGCGUCUAUGUGCAUAAAAGUCAGAUGCAUGUACGUUAUCUACAAUUGAUUCACUCUUAUAACGCAAUUUAUGUUUUGAUGUGAUAUGAUACUAACCUAAAAUUUGAUUAGCUCGCGAUUUGCAACUGGCAGCAGCGCAAACAUAAGCUGAUGUUUACGUAGUUGAUGAGUCGACGCCUUUGAAGUUUCAACAGCAUCCACGGUCAAGCUGACUGGGUGAUACUGAUGGUUAAGAAUUGCAGCUCCACAAAGCCACAAAGUUGACGGCAUCUGCUUGAUUAUGUCCACUCUUGGACAAAGUUUACCUUGGUGGUCAUAAUCUAUCAAAAAGAGUUGGAUCACAACAAUAGAUAGUUUUUAGUCAGAGUUGAUCGAGGAAAAUCCGACUUUGACAGAUGAUAGUGAUAAACCAUUGAUUUGGUUUGAAAUUUUCAUCCAUAAACGUCAAUAUUAUAAACCUGCAAGUCCUAAUCAUAAUGAAGUAUGCGUGCAACUGAGAAGCACUCGAGAUAUUAUUUAUGCAGAUGCCAUCUAUUUGAAGUUCAUAUUUGCAUAGGUUUAGUGCUAGGAAAAGUAUAUUUCAAUUUAUUUGCAUGCGUACGUCGACUAUUGGAGGUAGAAUUAGCUUCCUUCGUCAUAUACAUGACAGUGCUUAGUUUUGUAUAUAGCUUCCAUGUCACGUGGCGACUUCCAUGACAGUCUUCCUAAUCAAAUUGCGUUGAUUUAGAACUGCAUUACAAGUCUUUACACCACAGUGGCCAUUAGUUUAGUAUCAUAUCAAAUCACAAUGUAUUGGAACAGGUUUAUAUGUAUAUACAUACAUGGAAACACUCAAAGACACGGCCGGCCGUCUUCAGAGGCCAUCAGUUGUAUUAUUUCUUUGAGCAUGCGGUAAGAGGAAUUGCCAGUUGGAAGUCAAAUCAAGAAUCCCAGGUUUGGACUGUUGCCCUCGUUGAAUAGUGUUUUUAGAAAGGGCACCCACGAGUUCUGGGUGCAAACCAGUGGACCAUCUGCGUGCAUCUCUGACGCGCAACAAUGAAUGGACGAUUCUCAACCCUCAAUUAAUGCAAGCACUGAUUGGUGUAUCCAAAAGUUUUGUAAGACAGUGAUCACGUUGACAAUGCAACGUAUACCAAAAAUUUGCAAGACAGUGACGAGACAAUGGUUGACAAUGUAAUAGACGUUGGUCAAGUUUACGGUUCCCUCUGCGCAAAGCAAUCGUUCAUAUCCAUAUGUUUUUCUUACUUGUCUCUGUAUCAAAGAGCCAUAUGUUUUCUUACUUUUCUUAAAAUUGCGAACGGUUAUGAAUUUGACUGUGGUUUGCCCUCUCUUCUUAUCAUGUAGCUACGAGUUUUUGUGGCUGUCUUCCGAUCUGAAAUGACGGAGUGAGUUUCUCGAUAGAGCUAGAUGUCAAAAUAGCUUUCUAGGAGAGUAGAUGUGGUCAUAUGUUAGUAUUUGACCAGGGUGCAAUACCCUCCCAAAUUACCAAGAAGCGUAACUGCAUGAUUAAUUCAACGUUGAAAUCCAUAUAUAAGAAUUAUUCUAUCAGAGUUUUCCUCUAUAUCAGUCAUUUUAGGAAGAGUCAUACCAGUACACAGACGUCAGAUGCAUUGGCUCUAUCUACACUUGACUCAGUCAUACAUCCCUGUCUAUGUUCCGAUGUGAUGUGAUGCUAACCUAAAACGAAUCUGAUUAGCUCACGGUUUGCAACUUGCAGCAGCACAAACAUAAGCUAACGCGUUCCUAUGGUUGAUGAGUCGACGCCUUUCAAAUUUCGACUGUCAAGCUGACAGGGUGAUGGUCGAUGAUUAAGAUUUAUAGCUCCCUCUCCAUAAAGCCAUAAAGUCGACAGGAUCUACUUGACUAUGUCCAUUAGUCGUCAUAAUCCAUUAGCAAGAGUUGAAUCACAAGGGAUUUUAUGGUUUUAGGUCAGAGUUGAUCAAGGAAAACUCGACUUUGAAAUAUGAGAGUGAUAUGGUUUGGUUUGAAAUUUACAUUCAUAAUCUUCAAUAUUGUAAAUCUGCAAGUCCUAAAACACGGAUCACAGUGGCCAUUAGUUUAGUAUCAUAUCACGAUGUCUUGGGACAAAAUUUGUGUGGCGCGUAAAAGAAAAGUCGAAGGUGCAGACACUCAGAGACGCAUCCCGUGUUCAUAUCACGAUGUCUUUAAGCAUGUAGUAUGACGGAUGCAUACGAAGUUGACAUGUCGAAGUCAAAUUCUUAGAUCCAAGUUUAGACUGUUGAACUCGUUGAAUAGUUAUCUUAUAAUGGGCGCUGACGAAUUUUGGGUGCAACCCAAAAACAGCAAUAAUGAGGCACGCAGCAACGAAAGGCCAUUCUCAAUCGAUGCGAAAAACACAGCGGUGAAUCCCAUAAAUUCGUAAAACAGUGACGAAUGAACGGUUGACAAUAUAAGAGUUGAUUGAUAGUUACCUUUCUCGCUCUCUGGCGCACAAAUCAACAGUUCAUGUCGACACCUGCAAAAAUUUUUCUCUACUUGUUUCUGCAUGAGAACAAACGAUAGUGCAUCUAUCAACGUUUUAAGGGUAAUAUCGUGAUCCCAUAAUGUUUGAGGUCAGAGCUGACCCAAGAACUCUUGACUUUGUCGGAUGAUGAUGUCGUAUAUAUGGAUCGGUUCCGUAGAACCAUUUAGUUAAUGAACUGAUUACAGAAACGACAGUAAUAUAAAACAACCGUAGAGAAAGAUAAUUGAGAACAUCUAAUGCAUUUACUCUUUAACUCGUGCUUUUGUCUUCUUUUCAUCCUCCUCUUUGGAACUCUAAUGUCCUGUCCUGAUCAAUGUGGCUGUCGUUGGGAUUCCAUGACAUUAUCGCCAUGCUCGCAUGCAUCUUGUCCUCGUUGUCAUGGCCGUAAGUGAGAUUCGCCAUUGUUAUCAUAGAGUAAAUAGAAAAAAAUUUACUAUAAAAAUAAUGAAUAUAUAAAUAUGAAAUUUUUUUUUUCAAAACUUAAGUAACAAUCACAAGAAAAUAUUUGAGAUAUAAGGAUUAUAUCACUGUACACAAUAUCCAAAAUUUCUCCAAGUAAUAAUAAUAAGAAUAUAUAGACUGAUAUGAGAAUAAGAACACUAUCCGAAUAAUUAAGAACCGUCUCUAUAUUAUUCUUGUCUUUUUCUAUUUUUUCUCUUAUUUUCUGUCAUUUUCUCUUUUUUUUAAUCACGUUGCUGUUGUAGUUUUCUGUCCCUAAUUUUCUGCACCUUUUUUACGGCUAACACACCCCCUUAUUAGAUCUAUAUUUAGGUUAAUAAGGGAAGUGGGUUAUGGGUUGUUAAAGCCCACUAUAAGUUGAAUCAAUGAGUUGUCUAUCCAACAACCUCUCCCUUCAGCUCAUAAGGAAGGUUGUCCUAUGACUCCUCAAUAUGAAGUCAUACCGACUAGUUGUCGACAUAUCUCUUAUCUUUCUUUUGGUAAGGUCUUUGUUAAUAUGUCUGCUCCGUUGUCAUCUGUGUGAAUUUUCAGAAGUUACAAUUGUUUCUCUUCAAGUACAUUUUGAAUCCAGUGGUAUACAAUAUCUAUAUGUUUUGAUUUAGAAUGAAAAGUUUGGUUCUUACACAAAUGGAUGGUGAUCUGAUUGUCACAAUGCACCACAUAAUUUUUUUUUCAACCCUAAUUAUUGUAACAAUUAUUUUAUUCAUAAUAUUUCUUUGGAAACCUCUAUAGCAGCAAUAUAUUCUGCCUUUGUGGUAGAGAGAACAAUACAUCGUGGACUUCCUUGUAUCAAUAUAUUUUACCAUAUCUGUAUCUGUGUAACCUAUAAACACACGCGAUCUACCUCCAAAGCUUAAAUAAACUUUAAAAUUCUCUCUGAGAUAUCUAAAGAUCUAAUUCAUUGCUGUCCAAUGUUCUUUGCUUGGAUUUGUAAAAAAUUUACUCGUAACACCUACUACAUAUAUGAUAUCCGGCCUCUACAUACUAUAACGUAUAUUAAAUUUUCAAAUGCUGAAACAUACAAAACCUUUUAUAUUUUCUUCUUCUCCUCAUCAUUUGAUGGACUCUAAACCUUUUUCAAUACAUUCUUGAUAUAUUUCACUUGUGAUAACCAAAUCUUCUUGUUUUUUCUAUUAUGUAAAAUCUAUAGAGAAAUUUAGGAAUGACAUAAUAUGCACAGUGGAAGAACAGAAAAUAAAAACCUCAAAUUCCUAAAAUGGUGUUAAUCAUCGAGCGAAAAUUAUUAUAUAAAAAUCCGCAAAACUUAAAAUCACGCGUGAAAUAGUUGUGUUACCUCGGGAGAUCGUAUAUCCCUAAAUCCCUAUUAAUCUGUAGGAGAUGAUAAAAGAGAUCAAACGUCGCAUCCUCCUCUCUAACAAUGAUCCACACAUCAUGGUUAUGAUGAAUCGUUAUCCAAAACUUGACAUCUACUAUUUAAAGAGGAGAAUGAGAGAGGAGAAUAGGAGGUAGCAACUAAAAAAAAUAUCUAGCCUAUAGGUGUUUGAUACUCUUCUAUUUAUAGAGACUUUAUGUCAAUUUAACUCUAAUUGAUCUUGUUUUAUUGAGUAUUGGAUCUUCGUCCAACUACCCAAGCCUUUUAGAUUGAUGGAUCUCUAUCCAAUAAUCUCUCAUUGAUUUUUAUUAGAUUUCAGAAUCUAAUAAUUAAGAACCUCAUAUCUCAUCAUGAAUCUCUAUCCAAUAAUCUCUCGUUAGUUUUACAUAUAUCAAUUUCUACGUCCACCUCACACAGUCACACCUUUCGUUAGGAUUUCAAUGUAUGUCAUUACCGCAUUACUCGCAUACAUCUUGUCCUGGUGAUCACGGCCGCCACUGCUACCAUGCUCGCAUGCCGUUGACGAAGUCGCUUCACAGUAAAUCCUCUCUCCUCCUCUCUCAGAACUUUGCAUUAUCCGUGAAACUUCAAAACCAUCACCCUUGUUUUUUUUGCUUUGUUGUUAUCUUUACGAUCUAAAAUAUUCCUUUUAAUUUCUUCUGCUUUAUGGUUUCUACUGUGUGUUUACUAGGGCUUUUCUUCAUAUAAAUAAAUUCACAGAAGUUGGAGUGAAAGGCAAUCGAUUGGUGAGAGGCCAAACUUUCGUGUUAUAUCUUUUUACUUCUUCAUCAUAUUGUAAUGUUUUAGAUUCUACAAGAUGGUUAGCAUAUACUGAUUAAGAUUCAGUGACCGUUAGGAUUAACCCUGUGACAUGAUAGUCAAGUUGAAUCUUUAUUUUGAUGUCAGUUGUAGAAUAACAUGCUUUUUACUUUUAGAUCGUCCUAUUAUGGACAUAUCAAAGGUAAGCAAGAAGGGAGCUACACCAUAAAGUGAUUUAGUUUCCUAAGUGUCAGUUUAUGAGAUAAGGGUGAUAUACUGAUUAACCCUAUGGCAUGAUAGUUAAGCUGAAUCUUUAUAUUGAUGGUUAGGAUAUACUGUGAUAUCCAGGAAGACUAUAUUGAUAAUUAAGUUGAAUCUUUAUAUUAAGGUGAUAUCCAAGAAUGUUCUAAAUAUAGAUGAAUUAAGCUUUGGAAAGAGUGAUUAAAGGUCAACUAAGAUGUGCAACAAAUAUCCCUAAAGAUUAAUUUGAUUUUGUACCUUGAUGAACAACAAUUGGAGCUAUUUAUUUAUUAAAAUAAUUAAUAUAAAAAUAAAUAAAGAAAAGAAAAAAGAUUUGUAUAUGAUUUUUAUCGAUUUGGAGAAGUAUUAUGAUAACGUUUCUAUACAUUUAUUAUGGCAAGUUUUAGAAUAAUAAUAUUUAUUUAUAAAUUAUAUCAAUAUUGAUAUAUAUUUUAGUAUAGUUACUAGUGUUAAAAUUACAGACGAUUCACAUUACAUCAUUAGCUAUUCACUUUGGGAAUGGAUGAACUAUCUGAUCAUAUUCAACCUUCUUAGUCUAUUCUAUUUGUUAAUGAUAUUAUUUCAGUUGGUGAGACUUUAAGUCAAAUUACGUAUAAGCUUAAAAAUUAAAAAUUUUAAAUUUGGGUAGGACUAACAUUCGAUAUAUAUAAUGUAAUUAUAGUAACACUAGAGUAGAUCUAAAGAUAUAGUUAAUUUGGGUGGACAUCAAAAUCUAUUAAUUAUAAUUUUAUAUAUCUUGAAUCCAUUAUUCAACAAGAUAGGAAUAUCAAGAAUUUUGUAUGAUCAUCAGAUAUCUCUUAGAUUAAAAAAAAGUAAGAUUAUUGUUAGAAUAAUAAUAUUAUAUAAAUCUGAGUGUUGAUCAGUUAAUAAAUAAUGUAUGUAAAAAAAAUUAUUAUAUAUCACUAAGAUAAAAAUAUUAAAAUGGAUAUAUCGAGUUACCGUUAAAAACAUAUACUAUUAACUAUAAAAUUUAUGCUACAAACAUUUCACUAAAGAGUAUUUAUUGAUAAACUUGUCAUUGAAAAAAGUUUCAAUGAUAAAACUAAUUUGUCAUUAAGAUGUCAUCACUAAGUGUUUCUAAUUUAUAAAUUCGUCACGAUAUUGUUACUGUCAUAAAUAUUUUUUUUUAUUUUUUGACGAUAAUUUUAUGAUUGUAACAAAUGUUAAUUUAUUCGGCAAAUAUUAUCUUUAUUGUUACUAAACUAUUAACACAGAAAGAUCAUAUAUUGUCACUGAUACUUAUUAUGUAAUUUUUGAAUUUAAAGGAUUCUAUACAUUAAUUUUAUGAGGGAUGCACGAUCUGGACCGUAGGAUAGUCUGUGUUUUUUGGGACCUUCGGAUUGCUCGAUCCCACGAUCAAGAUUAAAAAGACAAAGAAUACCCUAAAUGCUUAGACUCGCGCUCUGCUGCCAGAGGCGGAUCCCGUUACCAACGGCCGAUUCCAUCUUUUGGAGAAGCGAAACCCGAUGUCACCGUCGGCGAGACCUCAGUCUCUUCGUCUUAUGGAAGAGCGACCGAGCCUCGCUGUUGCUACCGCUGCUGGCCGAGGGGCAUCCCCGGUUUAGGUUGAGUUCGUCAUCGACUACCUUACCACUUCUUCUUCCGCCCUUGCGAUCGAUGCACAUCCAUCACGUAGCUACUGACGAAGUAAGCUAUUUCCCUUAGCAUUUGCAUUGUUGUUUUAUCCUUUUCAACAAGUUGUGUGCUCUGGACGGCAUUUCUCUUGUUCUUAGUCAAUUGGUUGAGGUUGAAUCGACCCUUCCAUUGAUAGAAUUUGUUGGAAACAUCAAGACUAUGCGUCUGAUGGCAAUGAGGAAGAUCGGUUUUUACUCAAAACGACCCCUAUUCUGUGACUAAAAUUUUGCCUUAUAAUAUUUUGUAAGAAAGUGAUAUUACAAAUCAACACUCUUUUUUCUUUUGAGAUUGAAACUUAUAAUCUUAUCAAGUAAAUAUGAGUUAGUACCAAAAUUUAGGGCUAAAGAGAGGGCAUCACCAAGAUUGCUGGAAUCUUAAAUAACUUACAAGUGGAAGAGCCAGCAAUGCGACUGAUGUGAUCAUGCAUCAUGUCUUAGUAUCUUUUGUCAAAAUUAUCUUUCCAAUUUGUAAUAUUGAUGGUAACAACUUUGUUAUGGUUCUCCAGAUGGUCAUUCCUCAGAUAAAUGUGUUGGACCAGGAGGUACUUUUCUUUCACAUUUUAGAUUAUUGAUUUGUCUAUAACAUUAUGUAGAUGAUUGAAAAGUUUUCACCGAUGUGUUUGAUAGGCUUAUCUAAUUUAAUUCACUCACUUGAUUUUUGAAGUGGACAAUAAAAUGUGGUAAAUACUUGGUAUUUAUGAUUUGCUAAACAUCUUAACCUGAUAAUGAUGAUGAUGAUAUCGAAUAUAAAGAAUCAUUACCAUUGAUAUACUUGCAUAGUAACAAAUUUCAGCUGUUAAAUAGUUUUAGACUGGUUACUUUUUACUAAACAAAGCAGAAGUCCAAUUUUGUUCUUGUUGCAUGUGAUGGUUUGACCUAAUCUUAAGCAAAGAUUACAUAUAUUAAAACUUGGAACUCACACUUUAGCUCUUUGGUCUGUUUAUUUUAAGAUAUUAAUAUAUUAUAUAAUAUUGAAUUAAAGCUUGUUGUAUCUUUACCUAGAAUGUGAUGCUUGAUUAAUUAUAUUGCAUGUUUUUAUUUAUUGUCAGACACCCUUUGCUAAUUAUGCAUCAUAUGGUAUAUGCUGCACUUAAGGAUUUCUUCAGUAUUGUUAUACUGUCAUCCCCAUCAGUUUGUUUAGCUUCCGAGAUCUCUUUCCAUAUAAAAUUACUGUUUGAAACUAAAAUUUACUUGCAUUUACUAGAGCAUUUCUUUCUUUCUUUAUGUUGGUUAAGGCUUGGUGAUUUCUUUAGAAAUCUCUUUUAUAAGUUCUCUGAUUUGAUAUAUAGUGCAGGUUGGUAUGGUGACACCUAUGUGCCUUCAUCUAACAUCCAAAGAUCUGCUAGAUAAGGUCAGUCCUGGAAGAUUUUAAACUCUACAAAACUGAAUAAUACAAAUCGAUAACUCUACUGGUCUUUUUAUUUAGUUGGUUAAUAUAUAUGUAGAUGCCUUUGGACAUUAGUAAAACCAAAUAUAAACACUCUUAGAACAAUGUUCUUUUGGAAACAAUAUUCUCUUAGUUCUGAAUGAUUUCGAUUCAUGGAGAAUUUUUAUUAGCAUAUGAAAUCAAGAAAUGGGAAGAAGAACGAGAAUCAAAGUAUUUUCAUUUGCAUUUGGUCUAGCAUGUAAUCUUAUUUUGAUUCAAUUGCGACUUAGUGUUGGUAUAUAAUGAAUUGUUUAUGAUGGAGUUUAUGCAACUAAGCUGACCAUGAAAUUCUUCUUUUAGUUUACAUAUAUAAUGACCAUAGAUUUACAUAUUUUAUGUUUUAUAUUUUAACAAUAAUUCUUAUAAUAUCUUGUGUAUCAUAUCUUAUCCAAUUCCAUGGUUUGAAGCAAAAAUGGAUUGGAUAUUUAUCAUAUUUUCUUCGAUUCAUACUCAAAAUAAUGCUUUUAGAUUAUCGCUGACGAUGAUAAUGGAUCAAAUGUCUUGGUAUAAAAUUAGAUAUCCAUGUCUACUUAUCGUUCUUAAUAUCAAGUAGGGAUUAUAAAGAGUUGAGAUUUUUUUUUUAUAUACUCGGGUCUAUCUGGAUUUAGGUUAUCUUUUAAUUAGGUCUAAAGACAUAAUGCCAUGUCAAAUUUGGGGUUUUAUUAAAAUUUAUCAUGUUGUUUUAUUAUUAUUAUUAUUAUUGCAAAUAUUAAAUGAUGAAGAUGGGAUUUGAGUUAGGACACCAGCUAAGCUUUAUUUGAACAUUUUUCUGUGGAUAUAUUAUUUAGUUCUUUUAAGAAACCAAAGCCAUGGAUUUUAUUAGCACCACUAUAUGAAACACAAUCAUGUAAAUAUGGUGCUACGAUGAGGAUGUGGUGGGGUUACAAAGGAAUCCGAGGGAUAGCACGCAGACAAAGCUCUGACCUUCUCCGGCAUGUCAAUAAGAAGGUCUCGCUCAUGUCCAACUCGAUAGGCUUUUGUUCAUCUCCUGUUGGGAGCUCCCAAUCGAAGUGGUAGAUAAGAGAGGCAAGGGAAGUCUCUAAGCUCGCCAGCCCAAAUGACAUCCCUGGGCACAUCCUCUUUCCUGCCCCGAAAUGGCCCACUCCAGUAUUGUUGCGGAUAUCUCGCUGCCCCCACCAAGUAGAUCCUUUAAAGUGUUCAUUGCAAAUUGAAACCAGAAGUUAGAUUCUCGAUAGGGCAUCCAUGAAAUUGCCACUGUCCUGCAAGAUUAGGGCUUCAAAGAAAGCAUAUCAGGAUAAUAGCUUUCAUGUACUCGUCUGCGAGGGGAAAUGACAGGCCACCUUCGUCUUGAACUCUCAGCAUGGCAUCGACCAAGUCCUCCUCUAGUUGCUCUACAGACUUCCUCUCUUUGUGCUCUUGAAUGAUGCUAUUCAGGAUUGCAUCUAUUUCCCGGUGUAAUCUCUGCAGUUUGGAAGACAUGCCACUGAGAACGUUAAUUAUCAGCCAUGCCGGGAAUAAAUCGGCCAAACUGAGAUCAUUAGGUCAUAUCUCAGUGAAACUACUUGAUAUUUUUUUAAUUUGUUGAGAGAAACACGAUACAAAGGAUCGAUUACUCCAUUUUGAUGCAAUAUUUGAUUAUGUAGAUCCAAUUUAAAUUUUGAAACUUCCAUUUGCAAUGUCAUUGUUCUUGGCCAAAGCACUACACUAUAGAUGUUAUCUUGUUUCCACUGUAUUAGUGUGACUGCUUUACUUUUCUAGAAAUAAAAUUUAGGCUCACAACCUACCACACAUUGAGAGCCGUGGAAAUUUUAAGCAGAUUGACGUGCUACACUUCGGUUUCAUGUAUUAUGGAGUGAUUUCUCACAAAAAGUCCAUCUAUUUAUAUUUUUUUAAAGGAAGUGCCUCCGAUUACUGUAAUUUCCGAAGAAUCCUUCAUUUUUACCUGAUGCUUGGUCUAAUUCUGAUUUGAUAACACGUUAUUAUCUUUUUUUUCUUCUCUUUCUCUUUAUUUUUCUAUGGAUCGAUCUAUAAAAUAAACUGAUCUAGUUAUAAUGUUUCUGGUAACACUAAAAAACAUUAUAAAAUAAUGUUUCUGGAUAAAUUUUGUAAAAAUAUUAUGUUUUUAUGCUAUGUUAUGAUAUUUUCAGUAUGCUAGGAAAAUAUUGUAAUGUAGUGUCAAAAAAAUUAUAACUGAAUUGAUUCAUCUUAUUGGAAACACAAGCCAGUGGUAAACUGCUUCGGACUCCUACUGAUGAUUACACAGAUGCCUUCCAAUUUUUUCCUUAAUGCUUAAUUAUAUACAACCUUUGAUCCUUAUCAAUAUAUAACAAUGCAUAUAAUUAUUAUGUAACACAUGAUUUAGAGCCCCCCUAAUGGGCCUCCCAUCCCAUCCCUUCAACAAAAAUAUUCGUAGAAAUUAAGAUGCGAAUAAAUUAUUACUGCCUUCCAUUUGGACAGCAUAGAGAAAUUUCCUCCCUUGAUAUAUAAGAUUAAUUAUAUAUUACUAAUUAAUUAUCUUUAGCAUUUCAAUCCUUAUGUUUUCAAAAGUUACAUUGAGAUCUUUAUACUCAUGAAAAUGAAACAUUUAAUCUCGUUGCUUCAAUAAAAUCUCUUUCUUUCUUAAUUUUUAAUUUUAUGAAAUUAUAUUUUAAUCCUGUAUAGGGGUCUCAAUAUUUUACUUUCGUAAAUAUAGGGAUCCUAAUGUAACUUUUGUAAGUGUAAGAAUCGAGAUAUUAAAAAUAAUUAAUUACAGGGGAUAAUAUGUAAUUAGUUUAUAUGGUAUAUUAUUUCUCAUCAAGCCUUCGAAAUGCUUUUGCUGAUAUUAAAAAUUGAAGAGAAAAUAUGUUACCCUUCAUUAAUGAUUGAAGGCCAUAAGGAUAUCAUGAUUUCAUGGCCUCAGAUGCAAUCACUCCUGGAGCACUAGGUUGAGCACUCAAAUCAUGCAACUAAAUGAUGCAUCACAAUGAAGUGGAUGAAAAUAUUUUUUUGUUUUCAUUUGUGAAAUUGCAUCUCCUAUUUGGAGGGAAAUUGACCGUCAAAGUGGAUAGAGAGGAUGAGUUCAAAUGUUAAACAGUUAAAGAGGAGAAGAAGAUUAGGGGGUUAGUCCUUUCCAUUACUCAACAUUAUUAAGCAUUCAACCUCCAUCUACUUCAAGAAACUACCAUCAAGUUCUAACUCUAUAAGGCAAUCACCAGCAAUGUCCUUUUCUUAUUGAGAGUGCGUUUGAGAUAUUUUCUAUGAAGACAAAAGAAGAGAAAAAAAAGCUGCUGCCCAACUCACAAAAGCUUUUAUCAGUUUAGAAGUAAUUUGUCAAACCUGGAUUAUGAGAAUAGCCCGACUAGGUUUGGAUUGUGAGAAUAACCGUCCUCCGCACCAAUCUUCAAGAGUGGAGAAGAAAGGUCAAGGAUGAGGAUCCUCGAUGCAGCGCUGGACCUCUUUAGCAAUGAGCAUCUUUAGCAUAUUAUCAAGAGACAACCUACAUAGGUAGAUUUAAAAUUUUAAUAAAUAGGAUAUGACAUAUAGCAGAUGUUGUAGAACUAUUGGAGCAAUAUCUUUUAUCAGCGAGCAUCUUUACCUUGUUAUCAAGAGAAGACCUAUCAUUCAUGACAAAAUUACUCUUAAGUAUGUUUUCUGGUAACACUUGUAUCAUUAUUAAAUAUGAUAGUUAGAAAUCCAUUUUUUGUCAACUCGACCUUGGUAGUUUCUCUUUGCGUAUCAUACAUAAUUAUGCAUAGAAUAAUAUCUAAAAGACAACUUCGAAGAUGAAGAUGAAGGAGAAAUUUUGUAUGACAUUCUUGUGCAUAUGCAAUUGUAAAUACACACAUAUGGAUAUAUGAAUGUGUGCAUUUAUAAUUUAUUCAAUGAUUGACAAGAAAUCCACUUUACCAUAUUUCGUUAAUAGCCAUGGAAUUUUCCUUUUUCAGUUAUUCAAGGAACAUCUUAUAUGCUAAUUCAAUGUGCCAAUUGCUUUAGCUUCAAGUACCCGAUGAAUCUUUGUCACUGCUUAUGGGAAUGGGUUACAAAGAAAAUGCAGCGAAAAGGGCGCUAAGAAUGACCGGUCAAGACGUUCAGCCAGCAGUUCAUUUCCUGGUUGAAGAGCUAGGAAAAUACUCAGGAAACAGGAGAAUAUUCAGCGACAAGGAGAGAUUUUGUAUAGCUCUAUACUUUGCCAGAGAAUGUUUUUAUCUUAUUUUUUAGUUAAUGAUUGUUGCUGAUUGUAUGAACUUGUAGAGAACAGAGGAGAUAUGGUACUAAUAAAUCAUGGCAUAUAGCAUAAUGUGACAGAUGUAAUGGCUUUGCUUCUGUGGAUUGUGAAACAUUAGAUUGUGUCAGGCACUUAUCAGAUUGCUCUCUGGUGUCUAGGAUCAAUACAUGUACACUACUAGUCAAUCUAUUUUGCAGUUUUGAUAGAGAUCUUGCUGCACAGGCUCUUAGGGUGAAUGAAAAUGAAGUUCAAAAAGCGUUAGAUCUUUUGACAAAUCCUGAGAGCCCUUCAGGUACUUGGUUUUCUUUAGAGUGUUUCUCUAUUAUCAUUUUCACUAACUAAUGACCUUUUGACUGCCAGAGUCGACUUGGAAGUUGGGAGUAUCGGAUUCUUCAGGUGCAGACGUUGAGGAAUUAGUAUCCAUGGGGUAUAACCGAUCAUCAGGUAUUUCAUCGCUUCAUUUAUUCCUCAGACAAUCAAGUGUUUCAUGCAUUUAUUUCAGACCAGGGUGCCCUUCUCGUGAUGACUCCCAGGCAUCUAAUGUUGCCCUAGUUAUCUGACCAUACUUAAUUUUUACAAACAAUAUAUUCUAUAUGCUUGACCAUAGAUCUCCAUUAGCUCCAGUUACACUGUCAAGUACUUGCGUUCGGAAUUAACUAUUCUUAACUGCAGUUGUGGACGCUGUGCAAAGGUCACUUACCAAGGAGGAUGUGUUGAAACUUCCUGUCGGAGCAAAUUCAGAGGAUAGCCAGCAUGCUACAAUCAACCAACCGAAAGAUGAUUAAGGGCCAUCAGCUGCUUUAGCUAAUGAUGAUAAAAUGGAUCUGGGAGGAGAACACAAAUAUGAGAGAGACGAAGCCAUGGAAUAUGAGCUUGCUCCUUUGGCAGACUACAACACGGAAGUAAUGAAAGGAGAGGCCACAACAAAGUGUUUGGCCAUUCUGGAUUCAAAAGCCAAUGCAACAUAGGAAAUAAGAUACAUCGGAAGAAUCCCAUAAAUAAGUAAGAUAGUGUAGUUUCCUUUUGUAUCCCCCAGCAUUAAUAUAUUAUUAUAGAAGAUACGACUGCGAUUUCUUUUUUUAAUUAGCCAUAAGUUUUAUUUUUUCUCUUUCUGUAAUCAUCAUUUCCAAAUGGGUUUUUAUGUAUUUCUGGCAAUGUGCACCCCGUCGCCGAGAGGUCAUAUAUGGUGUUUUACAUUUAAAAUAUCUUGCUUGAAGGGAAAAAGCCUGAUCUACUUUGGUUGGAAAAAGCCUGGCUAAAUUUACAUUCCACUUUGGUUGGAAGUGAAUUGUUUUGUUGACUUUUAGAAAUUUACACUCCACUUUGGUUGGAAGUGAAUAGAUUUAUCUACUUUUAAAUGGUUUCAAGCGUAAAGGCAUCUCUAUUUUCAUUCACAAAAUUAUCUAUAAACACUUGAUAAUUUUGUGGAAGGAAAUAGAGAUGUCAUUGUUUUAUGCCUUAAAAAAUGUAUAUAUCAUUUUCAAUAUGGGUGAUAGACACGUAGUUAAGAAAAGCUUUACUGAAUCACUAAUAAUCAAUCAAGCUGUAAAGCCUGAAACCCCAAACCCUUAACUAUUAUUAAGAGUUUGGUUUAGUUAGAUACUAAUAUCUAUAUUUAUUCAUAAUGUCUCAUAGUGGGGAUGAAAUUUUAUGGUAUCCAAGCUCUUUAUCGUAACACGCAUCCAUGGCAAUAAUAUUGAUUUGGUUUGAAAUUUUCAUCCAUAAUCGUUAAUAUUAUAAGCCUGCAAGUCCUAAUCAUAAUGAAGUACGCGUGCAACUGACAAGUACUCAAGAUAUUAUUUAUGCAGAUGCCUUCUAUUUGACCUUCCUAUUUGCAUAGGUUUAGUGCUAGGAAAAGUAUGUUUCAAUUUAUUUGCAUGCGUACGUUAACUUGGAGGUAGAAUUAGCUUCCUUUGUCAUAUACAUGACACUGCUUAAGUUUGUAUAUUGGAACUGGUUUAUAUGUAUAUGCAUACAUGCAAACACUCAAAGACACGGCCGGCCGUCUUCAGAGGCCAUCAGUUGUAUUAUUUCUUUGAGCAUGCGGUAAGAUGGAUGCGUACUCGUUGAAUAGUGUUUCUAGAUAGGGCACCCACGAGUUCUGGGUGCACAUCAGUGGACCAUCUGCGUGUAUCUCUGACGCGCAACAAUGAAUGGACGACUCUCGACCCACAAUUGAUGCAAGCACUGAUUGGUGUAUCCCAAAGAUUUGUAAGACAGUGACCAGGUUGACAAUGUAACGUAUACCAAAAUUUGCAAGACAGUGACGAGACAAUGGUCGACAAUGUCAUAGACGUCGGUCAUGUUCACAACUCCCUCUGUACAAAGCAAUCGUUCAUAUCCGUAUGUUUUUCUUACUUGUCUCUGUAUCAAAAAGCCAUAUGUUUUCUUACUUUUCUUAAUUGAUGGUUUCGGUUUCUUAAAAUUGAGAGCUGAAUUCGAAUUGAAUUGGAUCGGUUCUGAAAUCAAAGCCGAAAUUGGUGGUGCCGAUUCCGGUUCGAACGAUGAAGACGGGAAUCGAGUUAGGACACCGGCCAAGCUUUAUUUGAAUAUUUAUCUGUGGAUAUAUUAUCAUGUAAAGAUGGUGCUACAAUGAGGAUGUUGUGGGAUUACAAAGGAAUCCGAGGGAUUUAUUCAUGGAUAUAUUAUCAUAUAAAGAUGAUAUUACGAUGAGGAUGUGGUGGGUUUACAGAGGAAUCCGAGGGAUAGCACGCAGACAAAGCUCCGACCUCCUCUUGCAUGACAAUAAGAAAGUCUCGCUCAUGUCCAACUCGAUAUACUUCUGUUCAUCUCCUGUUGGGAGCUCCCAAUCGAAGUGGUAGAUAAGAGAGGCAAGGGUAGUCUCUAAGCUCGCCAACCCAAAUGACAUCCCCGGGCACAUCCUCCUUCCUGCUCCGAAAGGUAGGAACUGGAAGUUGGUUCCCUUGAAGUCGACCAUCGAGUUCCUCCCUUCGAAUCUCUCUGGCUCGAACUCAGUCGCGUUGUCCCAGUAUUGAGGAUCCCUUCCUAAGGCCCAAAUGUUCACGAACACUCUCGUCUUCUCUGGUAUCUGGUAACCAAGAACCUCACUCGCCUCCCGGCACUCUCGGGGGAGCAGCAGAGGAACCGGAGGGUGCAGCCUCAGAGUCUCCUUGAUUACCAGUCUCAAGUAGUUCAUUCCGUCGAUGUCUUCCUCUGUCACCUUUCCCUUUCCUCCGACAGUCUCCCUCACCUCCUCUUGCACCCUCCUCAUCACUCUUGGAUUCCUCAUCAGCUCCGACAUGGCCCACUCCAGUAUUGUUGCGGAAGUCUCGCUGCCCCCACCAAGUAGAUCCUUUAAAGUGUUCAUUGCAAAACGAAACCAGAAAUUAGAUUCUCGAUAGGGCAUCCAAGAAAUAGUCACUGUCCUGUAAGAUUAGGGCUUUAAAGAAAGCAUACCAGGAUAAUAGCUUUCACGUACUCGUCUGCGAGGGGAAAUGACAGGCCACCUUCGGCUUGAACUCUCAGCAUGACAUCAACCAAGUCCUCCUCUGGUUGCUCUACGGACUUCCUCUCUUUGUGCUCUUGAAUGAUGCUAUUCAAGAUUGCAUCUAUUUCCCGGUGUAAUCUCUGCAGUUUGGAAGACAUGCCACUGAGAACGUUAAUUAUCGGCCAUGCCGGGAAUAAGUCGGCCAAGCUGAAGCCUCCCGCUGCUUCCAGCGCUUCCGUUAUUAUCCGUAGGAACUCUUUCUGAUACUUGCACUUGCUCCCGAUGAUGGACCGCGCGGCUAUGUCAUUAGACAACAGAACAAAUUUUCUACUGAGGUUCACAGCGGAACCGGUGUUGGACAGCAGGAGAAUCGACUGCACAAGAUUAAGCACCUCCUCUUCCCGGAUAAAGCGAAAAGAUUGGACUCGUUUGACACUCAAUAGUUCCAGGAUGCUCAUCUUGCGCAGCUCUCUCCAACGGGAUCCAUACGAGGCAAAGCCGAUGCCCCUGUCACCGUACGUGAAGGACUGGAGAGUCAAGUUCGUGGGCCGAGAGGCGAAGCUGAUGUCGUGGGUCUUCAUGAUCUCAGCAGCCGCGUCGGGCGAGGAGACGACGAGGGUAGGGACCUCGCCAAGCUUUAGAAGCAUGACGGGGCCAAAUUUCUUAGACAAGG